GGUAUAAGCUCAGUGGUAGAGCAUGUGCUUAGCAUGCAUGAGACUCUGGGUUCAAUUUCCAGCACCA
rnacentral:tRNA from 2 species